GCUGAUCCUGGCUAGGUUUGUCAAUCUUUCUUGAGUCAUGUUGUUUAGUCGUGUCCGACUCUUCGGGACCCCAUGGACAGGCCCUCCUGUCUUCCACUGCCUCCCGCAGUUUGGUCAAACUCAUUCUGGUAGCUUCGAGAACACUGUCCAACCAUCUCGUCCUCUGUCGUCCCCUUCUCCUUGUGCCCUCCAUCUUUCCCAACAUCAGGGUCUUUUCCAGGGAGUCUUCUCUUCUCAUGAGGUGGCCAAAGUCUUGGAGCCUCAGCUUCAUGAUCUGUUCGUCCCGUGAGCACUCAGGGCUGAUUUCCUUCAGAAUGGAGAGGUUUGAUCUUCUUGCAGUCCAUGGGACUCUCAAGAGUCUCCUCCAGCACCAGAAUUCAAAAGCAUCCAUUCU